rnacentral:rRNA from 1 species
CAAUAAUGUGCAGUGGCGGACGGGUGCGUAACGCGUAAGAACCUACCUAUUGGAGGGGGAUAACAUCGGGAAACUGUUGCUAAUACCCCAUACAGCUGAGGAGUGAAAGGUGAAAAACCGCCAAUAGAGGGGCUUGCGUCUGAUUAGCUAGUUGGUGGGGUAACGGCCUACCAAGGCCACGAUCAGUAGCUGGUCUGAGAGGAUGAUCAGCCACACUGGGACUGAGACACGGCCCAGACUCCUACGGGAGGCAGCAGUGAGGAAUUUUUCGCAAUGGGCGCAAGCCUGACGAAGCAAUGCCGCGUGCAGGAUGAAGGCCUGUGGGUCGUAAACUGCUUUUCUCAGAGAAGAAGUUCUGACGGUAUCUGAGGAAUAAGCUCCGGCUAACUCUGUGCCAGCAGCCGCGGUAAUACAGAGGGAGCAAGCGUUAUCCGGAAUGAUUGGGCGUAAAGCGUUUGUAGGUGGUUCGUAAAGUUUAAUGUCAAAUACCAGGGCUUAACCCUGGACCGGCAUUGAAGCACUCACGAACUUGAGUACGGUAGAGGCAGAGGGAAUUCCAUGUGGAGCGGUGAAAUGCGUAGAGAUAUGGAGGAACACCAGUGGCGAAGGCGCUCUGCUGGGCCGAAACUGACACUGAGAAACGAAAGCUGGGGGAGCGAAUAGGAUUAGAUACCCUAGUAGUCCCAGCUGUAAACUAUGGAGACUAAGUGCUGCCUAAAGCAGUGCUGUAGCUAACGCGUUAAGUCUCCCGCCUGGGGAGUAUGCUCGCAAGAGUGAAACUCAAAGGAAUUGAC